GGUGUAGGGAUAGAGACAGCCCUGGCGCUCUGGCCAUCCAUCACAGUCACUGUAGUCAUCUCCCUCCUUGACAGACUCCCUGGAGAGAACAGAAGUAAGGAAUUUCUAUCUCCUCUCACCCGCCUGAACUAGACCAGUCCCUUUGGGGCUCCUUGUGGCACUGAUGGGCUGCUAAUGGAUGUCUGACAGGGGAGAGGAGUCCAGAAAUUUGCCCAAAGGCCAUUCUGAGGAUCGGUUGGCAGAAAAGUGGUCACAACACACAAGCCACAGACUGCUGCAUCCAGUCCCAAAAGAAAGAAAGGAUCCCUACUCAUCCCUACGGAACAACAGCUUUCCAUUCUGAGGGCUGCUAAUGGAUGUCUGAGAGGGAAGAGGGGUCCAGAAAUUUGCCCAAAGCCCAUUCUGAGGAUCGGUUGGCAGAAAAGUGGUCACAACACACAAGCCACAGACUGCUGCAUCCAGUCCCAUAAGAAAGAAAAGAUCCCUGCUCAUCCCUACAGAACAACGGCUUUCCUUUCUGAGGGCUGCUAAUGGAUGUCUGAGAGGGGAGAGGGGUCCAGAAAUUUGCCCAAAGGCCACUCUGAGGAUCGGUUGGCAGAAAAGUGGUCACAACACACAAGCCACAGACUGCUGCAUCCAGUCCCAUAAGAAAGAAAGGAUCCCUGCUCAUCCCUACAGAACAACGGCUUUCCUUUCUGAGGUUGAAGAGGGAAAGAUGAAGGCAGAAGCAGUACCCAGUCCAAUCUGUAAGGGCAAAUGGGACCAGGAAUAUGUGCCCAGGAGAGCUUUUUAAUUUUAAGUAUUUCAUCAAAAAUCCCCAAACUCCCGCAAUUAAAUAAAAAUUUUAAAGG